GAAAUCUGGUAGCCUUCGGUUGCCCGAGUUGUAAUCUAGAGAAAUGUUUUCCGUGCCGGCCCAUGUACAAGUCCCUUGGAACAGGGCGUCAUAGAGGGUGAGAAUCCCGUCCUUGACAUGGACCCCCGGUGCUUUGUGAUACAUUUUCAACGAGUCGAGUUGUUUGGGAAUGCAGCUCAAAAUGGGUGGUGAAUUCCAUCUAAAGCUAAAUAUUGGCGAGAGACCGAUAGCGAACAAGUACCGUGAGGGAAAGAUGAAAAGCACUUUGGAAAGAGAGUUAAACAGUACGUGAAAUUGUUGAAAGGGAAACGAUUGAAGUCAGUCAUGCUCUUUGGUAUUUAUAUCAUUGAGUGGGGUCAACAUCAGUUUUGAUCGAUGGAUAAAGGCACUAGGAAUGUAGCACUCUCGGGUGAACUUAUAGCCUAGCGUCAUAUACAUUGAUUGGGACUGAGGAACGCAGCAUGCCUUUAUGGCCGGGA
rnacentral:rRNA from 1 species